GGCAAUCCCCUAAUGUUCCCUUCCACCUUGUGGAAGUUUUGUUCUUUCGCUCUUUGCAAUAAAUCCCAUUGUUGCUCGCUCUUUGGGGUCUCACUGUCUGUGCGAGCUGUAAUACUCGCCGCAAAGGUGUCUGGCUUCACUUCCGAGACCAGCGAGACCCCGAACCCACCGGGAGGAAUGAACAACUCCGGAUGGGAGGGACAAACAACACCAGACGCACCGCCUUAAGAGUCCUAACGCUCACCGCGGAGGUCUGCGGCUUCACUCUUGAAUGAAGCCAGCGAGAUCACAAACCCACCAGAAGGAAGGAACUCUGAACACAUCCGAAAAUCAGAAGGAACAAACUCCGGACACACUACCUUUAAGAACUGUAACACUCAAAUCGCGAGGGUCCACGGCUUCGUUCUUGAAGUCAGUGAGACCAAGAACCCACAAAUUCCGGACACUUCCCCACACAGAGGGAACUGGCCUAACACUCUGGUGGUGCCAAUAGGAUGUACUGACAGAUCAGAAGUGGUCGUGAGAGAAGGAGCAAGUAGCCAGAAGAGUGAAGUGUGCACUGGCUGAGAUGUGGGAGCAGGUGUUGUUGGUUUCCCCGGAGUCUUAUGUAUCAACAAAAUCACACCAGACCACCCAAAGCUGGCCCUGCCAACUGACCACACACACCCCUGCCUGAAAGGCAUGUUUCAAUGUGCAACAGACGCCUGCCACUCAGGGGACAUCAAAUGUUCAUGAGAACUCGCUAACCUCGAAACAGGUUCUACAAAUUCAAAAAAACCACCCGUGGCCUGGCUCUGGGCUGAAGCUGAGUCCUGGCUUGAAAUCCCCUGCCUUAAUCUCUCUUCGAAGACUUUUCUGCAUUCAUCUGAGUCCUCAUCCUCCAAGGCAGGGCUCAGGCUUGGGCUCAGGCUCCCAGCCAUGUAUCCCUCCUGGACCAUUCCUGACUCCUUUCCAGUAUCCUUAUCACUUGUACCACAUACGUUGGCCUUUGAUCCUGUGUACUGUUGGAUUUGUCUUUACUUCACAGGUUCAUCUUGUCUCCCCAAGAACAAUGAGAGUUGCCUCAAGGGGUAGAACCAUGCUUUUUGUUUUCUUUUGAAUUCAUUACAGCACAGCCAAAAGCUCAACACACAAAACACACUCAGUAAAUAUCUGUUGAACAGAAUAAAAGCCAUUCCGCAUAACCAA
rnacentral:lncRNA from 1 species